GACGAACGCUGGCGGCGUGCUUAACACAUGCAAGUCGAACGGAAAGGCCCUGCUUUUGUGGGGUGCUCGAGUGGCGAACGGGUGAGUAACACGUGAGUAACCUGCCCUUGACUUUGGGAUAACUUCAGGAAACUGGGGCUAAUACCGGAUAGGAGCUCCUGCUGCAUGGUGGGGGUUGGAAAGUUUCGGCGGUUGGGGAUGGACUCGCGGCUUAUCAGCUUGUUGGUGGGGUAGUGGCUUACCAAGGCUUUGACGGGUAGCCGGCCUGAGAGGGUGACCGGCCACAUUGGGACUGAGAUACGGCACAGACUCCGACGGGAGGCAGCAGUGGGGAAUAUUGCACAAUGGGCGGAAGCCUGAUGCAGCAACGCCGCGUGCGGGAUGACGGCCUUCGGGUUGUAAACCGAUUUCGCCUGUGACGAAGCGUGAGUGACGGUAAUGGGUAAAGAAGCACCGGCUAACUACGUG
rnacentral:rRNA from 1 species